UACGUAGGGGGCAAGCGUUGUCCGGAAUCAUUGGGCGUAAAGAGCGCGUAGGCGGUUCGGUAAGUCCGCUCUGAAAGUCCGGGGCUCAACCCCGGGAGGCGGGCGGAUACUGUCGGGCUAGAGUCCGGAAGAGGCGAGUGGAAUUCCUGGUGUAGCGGUGAAAUGCGCAGAUAUCAGGAGGAACACCAAUGGCGAAGGCAGCUCGCUGGGACGGUACUGACGCUGAGGCGCGAAAGCGUGGGGAGCAAACAGG
rnacentral:rRNA from 1 species